rnacentral:rRNA from 1 species
AUUGAACGCUGGCGGCAGGCCUAACACAUGCAAGUCGAACGAGUGGCGGACGGGUGAGUAAUGUCUGGGAAAGUGCCUGAUGGAGGGGGAUAACUACUGGAAACGGUAGCUAAUACCGCAUACCAUACGAUGUGCCCAGAUGGGAUUAGCUAGUUGGGGGGGUAAAGGCUCACCAAGGCGACGAUCCCUAGCUGGUCUGAGAGGAUGACCAGCCACACUGGGACUGAGACACGGCCCAGACUCCUACGGGAGGCAGCAGUGGGGAAUAUUGCACAAUGGGGGCAAGCCUGAUGCAGCCAUGCCGCGUGUAUGAUGAAGGCCUUCGGGUUGUAAAGUACUUUCAGCGGGGAAGCGUUACCCGCAGAAGAAGCACCGGCUAACUCCGUGCCAGCAGCCGCGGUAAUAC